rnacentral:misc_RNA from 1 species
AACCAUUCUCACCUGCGGCUAGACCUGCGGAAGGAUCAUUACAGAGUGUUUAACCCCCUAUAAAAUGGUGGGUCUAACCUCCCGUCCUUUGCUGGGUCCCCCUUCUGGAGGACUUUCAAAACUUUCUGCUUCGGCGGGGUAUACCCGCCGGAACACCCUCAAAAAAUUCUUGAUCAAAAUGGUUCGGUCCGAGAAACUUUUUGUGAAAAUUAGCGAAAAACUUUCAACAAUGGAUCUCAG